UAUUUCUGUUUCUUUUUGUUAUUUGUCAAUAUGAUUUUUUUUCAAAUUAUAUUGAUUGACGUAAUUUCUCCUUUAUCAUAGGCAACAAUGCGACAAAAACGUUGAACCAGUUUCCAAUUGUUUCAAUUUCAUCCCAAAUAAAAGUCUAAUUGAUUUGCAUAAAAUGCUUUAUUAAAGCGGGUUCAACGCAAGGGGUGAUGGGUCUUAUUGUAAGCGCACGUGGUAGGCCUCUUUCUGCCGAUUCUAAAGUCCCACUUGCCAACAAUCCCAGGUGGCAAAACCCUAAUGGCAUCUGACAUGGUACAUACCAAACAUUUUUGUAUUGGUUUUUCCACUCAUAAAUAUAAAUAAACAAAGCAAAAGAAAACAGUUUGUUAUUGGCUUGUUGCUUUAAGGCAACCGUGGACUCCACCGCACCUAAUAAUCUGUGAUCCCCAUCUCUAUUAUAACGGUGGUUAACGUCGAAACUCCCGCUCCUUCGUAAAAGGGCCAAAGCAACGAACAUAAAGCGUUGAGUUCUCGACAGAACCACCGCCACUUGAGCAGCUGAAGCGGCGGUUUCACGCGAUCGCUCUACGAAAACGAAAUUUUGAUUAAAAAAAAAAAAACCUUUUUGACAACGACAGGCUUCAGCUACGUUCCUCAGCUUAAAUUAAAAAAACUUUUAUUAUUUUAUUAUAUUCUAGAAACGAUAGAGAGAGAAGAGUUUUUUCUUCCGUUUGGAGAUAGAAAAGCCCGCCUCGUAACCCAAAGCAAUAGCUCUUCUCAUUUCUUGGCUCUGGAUUUGAUUAUUAUAUAUAAAGAAAUAACGAGAGAAAUUGAAAAUUCAAUCAUCCGUUUUUCGUGAAUUUAAUCUCGCUCGAUUCCUGUGAAAUGAAUGCGGUUUUCUUUCAAGAUUAAAGUCUGAUCACGAUCUCGGAUGCAAGUUACAAUGCCUGGAGAGGUAAUUGCAUUUCAAGAAGAAGAGAGGUUUAGAAAGGAAGCGCAUUUGGAUUUCGAGACGUCUGAGGACGAGAAAAGAAUAACAACGCGAGGGAGAUCUAUGAAGAAACAAGCUAUGACUGCUUCCACAAAGCUUACACACGGUCUAAGGAAGCGAAGCAAACGCGUGUCUGAUUGCAAAUACGCGACAAUUUCGAUCGAGGAUGUUAGGGACGCAGAGGAGGAAAAGGCUGUCAGAGCUUUUCGCCAGGCAUUGCUUGUGAAAGAUCAGCUUCCCCCACGUCAUGAUGAUUACCACACUUUGUUAAGAUUUUUGAAAGCAAGGAAAUUUGACCCCGAUAAAACUAUCCAGAUGUGGGAAGAUAUGCUGAACUGGAGGAAAGAGUAUGGAGUCGAUACUAUUAUACAGGAUUUCCUGUAUGAUGAAUAUGAAGAAGUUCAGCACUGUUACCCCCAUGGUUACCAUGGCAUAGACAAACAGGGUCGCCCUGUCUAUAUUGAAAGAAUUGGUAAAAUUGACCCUGCCAAGCUGAUGAAGGUCACUACAGUGGAAAGAUUUUUAAAAUAUCAUGUGCAAGGCUUCGAGAAGGCUUUCAUGGAGAAGUUUCCUGCCUGUUCCAUUGCUGCCAAGAGGCAUAUAGAUUGUACGACAACAAUAUUAGAUGUGCAGGGGUUGAACUGGAUGAGCUUUGGCAAGAUUGCACAUGAUCUUGUAAUGCGCAUUCAGAAAAUUGAUGGUGACAACUAUCCCGAGACUUUACAUCAAAUGUACAUAGUUAAUGCUGGAAGUGGAUUCAAACUACUAUGGAACACAGCAAAAGGCUUUCUUGAUCCAAGGACUACAGCAAAGAUUCAUGUUCUUGGGAGCAAAUUCCAUAAUAAAUUAUUUGAGAUUAUUGAUCCGAGUAGCCAAUUGCCAGAGUUUCUUGGUGGAACUUGUGUAUGCCCUAAUAAUGGCGGUUGUCUUAGAUCUGACAAGGGACCCUGGAAUAACCCAGAAAUAAUGAAGUUGAUACACUCCGGAGAUGCCUUGUAUUUGAGGAAAACAGAAAGUUCUUCUGAGAAUAAUAAUUUGGAAGUCAAAUUUUUGUCUACUAAGGUUGCAAGUAGUGAAAUAUCUUCUGAUGUGAGGCCAGAUGCUUCAGAUUUCAUGCAGUUAGUGUCAGUUUCUGACAGAGAAAAGAUGAAUGGUCCUAAUUCUAUGCAUGGCAUUAUUGAAGCAGAAAAUGCUGCAAGAAUUGAAGAAACUAGUUCAACAAAUGAUAUAACUAGUGAUGUUAGUCCAAGAAAUCUGGGAAAGAAGUUUGUUCACCAUGUAAUAAGUUUUGUGGUUCACUUUGUACUCAAAUUGCUAGCAUGUCUAUACUUCUUAGCCCCUGGACUGGGAAGAUUUUUGGAAGCACAAGAUUCAAAACAACAAACAGAAAACCAGUUGAAUCACCAGAUGGCAGAUUCAGGGUCUCUAGAAAAUGGUAUUUUGACAAAAGCAGAAGAGGACUCACUCCAUCCAUGUUGGCAGCGGCUACAAAAUUUGGAAACCUUGGUAACUGAGCUUUGUAACAAGCCCACAAACAUUCCUCCUGAAAAAGAAGAUAUGCUUCUUGAGUCAUUGAAUCGUAUUAAAUUUAUUGAACAAGAUUUACAGAGAACAAAGAAAGCAUUGCUUGCAACUGCAUCAAAACAAGUGGAGCUUGCUGAGUCAUUGGAACAUUUAAAAGAGAGCAACUUAGCUGGGACAUAUUCAUGUUGGUGAGGAAACUACAAACCUUUGAACCCAGGAAGAUGAAUUUACUUGUUUGCUUGACCGUGCCGAGGUAGUCAAUAUGCAUCUUCUGAUGUCUCUCAACCAUGCUAUAACAGCAAGAUUUGGAAAUCUUUUGCCUGAUUCAAUCAGUCAAGGAUGAUGUGAGACAGUUGUCACAUGAAUGGAGAGCUACUAUCUACUAGACCAUGGAAAUAAGUUCUUUCUGACAAGCAUAGUAGUUAUAGAUGUAGUUGUGCAUAUAGUUUUCAAGUUUCUACACUUAAAUAUGAUUUUUUCCCCAAAUUGCUCCCCUUUCAUUAUUUUUUCCUCGGGCUGUUAUAAAGAGCAAAUAUUUGAGGUCACCCAUUCAUAACAGUAAAUGCGUACGUCGAAAAAAAGAGGUUAUGUCACAGCGUUUUGUAUUUUAAGGCUAGAUUGACACUUGAGAUACUUCAAAUCUUUAAUUAUAAUGCGAAAAUAGAUUUGAUAGCGAACAGAAGUAAGAUAUUUCUGAUUUUAAUUUUUAUGUUAUUUUCUUUCUCAAUUCCAGUUGAUCAUGUUAGUUAUUUCCAGCCAAAUAUCCAACUGCUUUUCAUCUGUCCCCUCAUUUAUAUUAUGUUCUUUUUCUUCCCUUCUUAAACUCAACUCUCUGUCAAAUUUCUGAAUAUCAAAUCAAGAUUGACUAAAGUUCAUUAUCAUUCAUCAUUCUGACACUAUACCUGUUAAGAUCAGGAACUUAAAUUUACCGUUUCUCACUCUCCAUUUUUUUUUUUCAUUGAAAGUUGCCAAAUUUGUUAAAGAAAAAAAAAAUUCAUUAAUUCCUUCUCUUCGUUGAACAUUUGCUAUAAGAAUGAAAAAGAAUACAUCUUAACUGAAUUUAUAUAAUAGCUCAACUUGUAGAAAGAAAAUCCUUUCGAAGAAGAAUUGUUUUUUUUAGCAAGAACUUGGCCAUCCAAAUAUUUUUAUUUCUCUUGAAAUAUUGAUGGGCCCUUCUAAAUAUUGGUCACCGGCUAGGGAAACAAACUCUCUUGAGGCCCUUUUUAAUUUAGGAUGGGCCUGAAUGGACGUGACAAUCCGGAUGUAAAUUUCAGGAUCCGGAUCCAUUGAAAAUUUUAAAAACGGAACCUAAACUCACCCACCUAAUCCACCCAUUCCACCGCUCACCACCACCACCAUCUACUCCCCUCGACCCAACCUCCCUAAACCUUAGUAAUCUAACCCCCCACC